UACGUAGGGUGCAGGCGUUUAAUCGGAAUUACUGGGCGUAAAGCGUGCGCAGGCGGCUCUUUAAGUCAGAUGUGAAAGCCCCGGGCUUAACCUGGGAAUUGCGUUUGAAACUGGAGAGCUGGAGUGUGGAAGAGGGGGGUGGAAUUCCAGGUGUAGCAGUGAAAUGCGUAGAGAUCUGGAGGAACACCGAUGGCGAAGGCAGCCCCCUGGGCUAACACUGACGCUCAUGCACGAAAGCGUGGGAGCAACAGGAUUAGAGUACCCCGGU
rnacentral:rRNA from 1 species